rnacentral:lncRNA from 1 species
GGAGUUUCCAUCCAGGACCUGCUUCCCGUGCCGGUUCCGCCAGGAGAUCCAGCGGGUGCCGUCCCGGCUGUAGUUGAUCUUGUACAUGGGGGCAAACUCAUUGCCAUGCCCUCCGGCGUGACGGCCCUGGGUGCCCACCAGUGUGAUGAAGUGGAGGGCACGCAGGUCAAUCUGCAGGAACUCCUUCAGGUCGUCAGGCUCUACUGGGAUCUCGGGGCACCAGGCACCAUCGCCCUCCUCCGAGUCCAGCCGUCCGUACUUGGCGGCCGUGGACUCGGACCACUGGCUGGAGGCUGAGAUGUCCUCAUCAGGGAUGUGCCCACCCGACAUUCCCAGGGGGUACCGGCACACAGCGGGGUUGACCUGGGCUCUGGCUGCCAGGAGGAUGCACAGCAGCAGCAGCAGCAGCAGUAGCAGGGCAGCUCUGGGCAGGGCCGGCAUGGCGGGAGUCCGGAGCAGGAUGGGGACGGCAGCAGGGCGGGCUGCUCGCCCCUCGCCCGGGCGGCGGGAGCCAGGCGAGGAGCGAACUUCCCCGGGCUGAUGCAAG